rnacentral:misc_RNA from 1 species
UUUAACAGCGGAGACCAUCUGAAUCACACACUCGCUUCACAAAAAAAAAAGCAGAACAGAGAUCUUGGAGUCUGUCUCUCAUUCUCAUUCUCUUUAUCUUUUUCGUUUUAUCGAAACCUGUUGUGUUGCAUACCGCCACCCAUAUCAUCAUCAUCUUUUCUCGGCUUCUCUUUGUUUUCCACGUCAUCUCACUCUGUUUGACUUUCAGUAUCCUGUCACGAGAGAUCCGCCCGACUUUUCUCUGUCGCUCUCCAGAGCACUGCUCUUUCCGCGUCUGCGUGUGUGCGUUGCUGUUGGUUUCGGCUCGCUUUCCACGUUCCCUUCGCCCUCACGGCUUUCUUGUUUUGCUGCUCAUCGCGAGACGAACUUGCAUCUUUCUCGGCCCUUGUCGAGUGUGUGAUCCUUUUCGGGCUCCUUUUGCUUCGCCCCUCAUCCUUCUCGCCUCCCCGAGGCAUCUAUACCCCCCCCCCUCUCUCUCGUUCUCUCUGCGUGUCUCCACCACCUCCUCGCCCAUUUUGCCUCUCCUCAUCUUUCUGCAGCGCCAUCUCGUGUUGCCCACAAAGCAUUUGACCGGCGUCCCCCGCUUCGUUUUUUUUUUUUCUGUCGCACCCUUGAAGACGCCGCCCCCUCCCCCUCCCCCUCCCCCCUCACACCCGCACACUGGAUACACUGCUAUCAUACAGCAGUACAUGACGCUAACGAGCCGUACCGCGCAGGCUGCGCACGCGCAGAACGAUGUAGCGGCUCAAAGGCCGCCGCCGCCACUUUACCCGAGCAUGAACGUUGGAGUCAGCGCCGUACACACGCAUCAAAAUCGCCCGUGCCAUCCGUACGACAGUCAACCCGCGUGGCAGCAUCCACAGCUCGGCACCGCGCCUCCAGCGGUGAUAGCUGGCGCCUCCCUGGCUCCUGAGCAGCAGGAGCAAGCGCCACAGCCGCAGCAACCACAGCAGACUCACCAGCAGGGCCGCAGUAACCAGCCCCAGAGCAUCUUCGGUGGCCGCUUCACCCUUCUCGAUCGACUCGGUAGCGGCGGCUUUGGCGAAGUUUACCGCGCAGAGGAGCGUGACCAGCUGGUGCCUAUCGCAGUCAAGGUGGAGCGGGUGACCGACACAAACGCUCUGCCUGAGCAGUCUUUUCUCUUCCAUGAGGCGAAGGUGAUGCAGGAGAUACACAAGUCUAUCCAGGCUUACAUGGCAGCCCAGCAACAGCACCAGUUGAUGCUGCUGCAGCAGGAGAAGGCGCGGAGCGGAAAUGGGCGGCGCGCCGAAAACGAGGCCGCUGCGGCAGCAGAUGAGACGAGGCAGGAGAAGGUAGGGAUUGCGAAGCUGAAGUACUAUGGCCAGGACGGCAUGAGCCGCGUGCUCAUCAUGUCCCUGCACGGCCAGUCCGUCGCAAAUGUCCACCGGCACCAAGGGCGCCUGUCGUUGUUUGCGACGGUGAUGAUCGCAGAUCAGGUUCUCAGGAGUCUUGAACACGUGCACCGCGCCGGGUACGUGCACGCGGACUUGAAGCCAGACAACAUUCUGUUUGGCCGUGAGGACCCGGAGCAGCUCUAUUUGGUGGACUUUGGCCUGAGCGUCCACUUCCGCGACCGCAAGGGCAAGCAUCGCCCUCUCAUCACGAACCACAGCUUCGUUGGCACCCCACGCUACGCAUCACUGCGGACACACAUGGGCCACACCCUGUCCCGCCGCGAUGACAUUGAGCAGCUCGUGUACGUCAUGAUCUAUCUUUUUCGCGGCCGUCUGCCGUGGUCAGGUCUGCGCAUCAGCGACCCGGAUGCGAAGGAGAAGCGCAUUGCGCAGAUGAAGGCGGAGAUGACGCUGGACUCGAUCUGCGCCGGCUGCCCGGAGGCCUUCCGGGACGUACUCAACUACGCUCGGUGCAUGGAGUUUGAAGAGGAGCCACAGUACCAGUUUCUGCAUGUGCUGCUGUGCUCGCUGCGUGACUCCUGCACGGAGUUGAGCAGUGAUCCGAACGGCGUCCCUGCGAACGGUUCUGGUGGCGUGAUGCCGCAGAUGCUCACGUUGAAUGCCUACUGUAGUACUCGCCAGCACCCCAAAGCCCAAAACGGCGGCGACGCUGUUGCGAACGGCGGUGCUGUGGGUAUGACAGCAGCGGAGGCGGGGCUUGUGAAGAACACGAAUAUCGCGUCCGGCGUCGUCGAACAGAUUGACGGGGUUGCCGAGAACCCGAUGAUGAUGUCUUCACGGGGCACUGGCGCUCCGGCCUUCUUCAGCGAUGCCAUCGGCCAGGGCUUCCUAUCGGGUAACGGCACAGAUGCCGGGCCACUAUCGCCGCGCAUCGACUGCCUAAACGGCCAGCCGUUCUCGCCCCCGCCGCUGGAUCUGCAGCGGCCGUGUGGGUCACCGCAGCUGCGGCAGAUGCGUUAAGGGAUGGGCGGUAUUGGCGAUCUCCCCCCCCCCCCCCCCACAGAGGUGCCCUAGCGGCAGUGGAACGGUGGAAGGGGGGUUGGCAGGGAACCGCUGGGCAAGGAAGAGCCUACGCGCAGGUGCGUGUACGCUUUAGCCGGAUAGAUCUGUCUUUGUGCUAGCAGGCGUCCAAGCACACCUCUUCCUCACCAACCCCCCAUAACCUUCCUCCCUAUCCCUCCCGCUCUUUGCCCCCCCCCCCCCUUCGCUGAUUCUGUCGCGAGUACGUACGUAGAGGCGGUUUGUGCGUCGGUAUGUGCGUGUGCGUGUGGGUGCACGAGUGUGCUCUGUUCUCUUUUGUUGUUUUUCUGUUCGGCUGUCUUGUGUUCCUCGUUGCCGUUAACGUUGAUCGAUUCCGUUUCUGCCUCCCCACCCACCCCUCCUCUUCCUCUCUGUGCCUCUCUCCCUCGCCAUGUGCGUGUGCGUGUGUGUGUGUGUAUGUGUGCAUCAACAUUUACAUCCUGUGCAUGUUUGUGCGUCUGUCUCCCCCCUCUCUCUGUGCGCCUGCGCGCGUGCGUGUCCGUUUCGCUUGAGAAGUGCUUUCCUUUUGCCUUUUCGUCCUUCUGCCGUGCCUCUUUGCUCCUGAUCGCCCCCCCUCCCCCUCUCCCCUCUUGGGCCUUUCUCCUCGCCGGCCCUUUCUUUCCGUUGUUUCGAUUCGGCCACCAUUUCUCAUUUCCUGCGUUGGCCUCUCCCUCUUUCGCUGUGACGCACUUCCAUAUCGUGUCCUGGUUCUUCUCAGAGGCUUCUCCACCCACCCUUCUCCUAUUGAUUUCUUCUUGUCUCUUGCAAUGCUCGACGAUGGCGUCUACCCCCCCUCCCCCCCGUGCCUGGCCCCCUCGUAUCCCAUCCACCCCGCUUAGGUUCGCGCACACGCACACGCUCCCGAUGUACUCAAACAGGGUGAGGUUGGACCCCGGCUGUGUGCCCUCUAUACCCCACACACACGCUCGCCGCCUGCUGUCCUUCCCACCACCACAACUACUAACCCCCCAUCCCGUCAGUAUUGCUUCUUCUUUCCCCCUUUUCCUUGCUGCUGUAAAAGGCGACUGCCAGUGCUGCGACGCGCCGACAACCGUCCCCUUGCUCCCCUUGGUCUUUGUUGGUGUUGUCAUUCUUUCCUCUGCACCAGAAAUCCCCUUCCCCCUCCCCCCUUCCCCCUCCCCUAGCCCCACAACGUGAGUACUGAUGCGCCGAGGGAGGGAGGGAGGGAGGGGCGGGGGGCUGUCUGUAUCAUCACACGCACUGGCAGAUUUUUCCCGUGUGUUGCCCGGGUCACAUCUCUGUCUGUCUGUCUGUCUCUCUCUCUAUCCAGCCUCACUGCCUCCUCCUACCACAACCGUUACCAUCAUUACCAUCCUUCAUCGUUUGGCUGCUCCUAAGAUUAAACAAACCUCAUUUUUUUAAAGUUUCGGAUUGCCUUCCUUUUUUUUUUGUAUUUCGUGGGCUCUUCAUGUCUCUCUCUCUCACACCUUUUCCCCUCUUUCCUCCCUCGCUCUCCGGAUUCUGUGCAUUCUUCCCCAUUCCUCCCGUCUGCCUCUCCCUCUCUUUAUCUAUAUCUAUGUGUUUCUCCCUCUAUAAACUCAUACCUCCCCUCUCCCCACCACUAUACCCUUCUUCUUCCCGCCUUUUUGCACACUCUUAUGUUGUAUUCUCCCUCCCUCCGCAUAUCUGCGUUGCUUCGCGGGCUCUUGUCAUGCUCCUUGUCCUCUUUUAUCCCCUCCCUCUUGCCUUGUUUCAUAGAUGGUAAGCUUACGUACUCUCACGCCAUCCCUCCACUAUUUGUUCUAUACGAUGGUGAGGGCGUGCCUUGGACCGUGAAGGUUGACGACUUGCUCUCGCUCUCCACUCCGUACCUCCUUCGCUCUCCUUCUCCAAGCGGGCGAGUGGGCACAUCGGUCGUUGGGAUGCUUGUUUUUUCUUACUCCCCUUCGCUCUCUUUAUCUUUUGUAUGCUUCUCUUGGGGCAUAACGGCGCGGGGAGACCGGGAGCACGAUUGAGUUUUCGUUGUCCAGUGGCGGCCAAAUCUUUAUUCUACCCGUCCGUGUUACUUCUGAUUGCCAUGUUCUUUGAGAAAGGGCUGCGGCAACCUUCGUGGUCCCUUCUUGCUCGUUUUUUCCACUGUCCAUGCCUUAAUAGUACGUUCCUCCGCCCACCCGACCACCUUCAUGUCUGCACCCAGUGAGAUAGGAAGCUGGAAGGGCGAGUUUCUCCGCACUCUCCUCCGUACACACAAGCACAGGCAUAUACGCGUAUUGGCGCUCCUGCAUGAGGAGACGCGCUCUGUGCCUCUCGGUACGGCGUUGGUGUCAGCGGCAGGGUCGCACACACACUGCCCCUAGAAGUCAGAUCGACUGUGACGAAUAUGCGGACUUGCUCAAGAGGCCUCCAUGGAACUCUCGCCCUCUCCCUUCCCUCACCCAUCUCACGUGCUCACGCUGGCGGAGGAAUGGAGUUGGUCACCAAUAAGCGAUGAAGAGAGGAAAAUAACGUAGAAAGUGAACGUGUGCCUGCGAAUAAGACAAGUAAGCACGCAUGCACUCGCAAGAGAAAAGCACGUUGACAGAGAAGCGAAGUUGAGAGGCAGCAGCAGCAGCAGCAGCAGCAGCUACACACAGAGAAAAUCAGUUCUUAAUACACAGACCGACACCCACGUGCAAUCAAUUGCCGAGCAGACAAAGCCUUGACCAACAUGUCGUAUGUCUUUGGCUCUCUAACCCUCUCCUCCCUCUCCCUCCCUCUUCCAUAUACUGUCGUCUCGCAUACCAUCUAUUCAG